CAGCCGCCGCGGGAAUACGUAGGGUGCAAGCGUUAAUCGGAAUUACUGGGCGUAAGGCGUGCGCAGGCGGUUAUUCAAGACAGAUGUGAAAUCCCCGGGCUCAACCUGGGAACUGCAUUUGUGACUGGAUGACUAGAGUACGGCAGAGGGGGAUGGAAUUCCGCGUGUAGCAGUGAAAUGCGUAGAUAUGCGGAGGAACACCGAUGGCGAAGGCAAUCCCCUGGGCCUGUACUGACGCUCAUGCACGAAAGCGUGGGGAGCAAACAGGAUUAGAUACCCGGGUAGUCCCUGUCUCUUAUAC
rnacentral:rRNA from 1 species